rnacentral:rRNA from 1 species
GACGAACGCUGGCGGCGUGCCUAACACAUGCAAGUCGAGCGAGGAGAGUUCCUUCGGGAACAAACCUAGCGGCGGACGGGUGAGUAACACGUGGGCAACCUGCCUUGUAGAGGGAAUAGCCUUCCGAAAGGAAGAUUAAUACCGCAUAACAUUACAGUUUCGCAUGAAACAGUAAUUAAAGGAGUAAUCCGCUACAAGAUGGGCCCGCGGCGCAUUAGCUAGUUGGUGAGGUAAUGGCUCACCAAGGCGACGAUGCGUAGCCGACCUGAGAGGGUGAUCGGCCACAUUGGGACUGAGACACGGCCCAGACUCCUACGGGAGGCAGCAGUGGGGAAUAUUGCACAAUGGGGGAAACCCUGAUGCAGCAACGCCGCGUGAGUGAUGAAGGUUUUCGGAUCGUAAAGCUCUGUCUUCGGGGACGAUAAUGACGGUACCCGAGGAGGAAGCCACGGCUAACUACGUG